rnacentral:rRNA from 1 species
GGAGGGUGCAAGCGUUGUCCGGAUUUAUUGGGUUUAAAGGGUGCGUAGGCGGCCUAUUAAGUCAGUGGUGAAAGGUAUCAGCUUAACUGACGACGUGCCAUUGAAACUAAUAGGCUUGAGUACAGACGAGGUAGGCGGAAUUUAUGGUGUAGCGGUGAAAUGCAUAGAUACCAUAAAGAACUCCGAUAGCGAAGGCAGCUUACUAGGCUGAGACUGACGCUGAGGCACGAAAGCGAGGGGAGCGAACAGGAUUAGAUACCCUGGUAGUCCACGCUGUAAACGAUGAUUACUGGAUGUGUGCGAUAGACAGUACGCGUCUGAGCGAAAGCGUUAAGUAAUCCACCUGGGAGUACGAUCGCAAGAUUG